CCCUCCGCUUCUUCUUAACCCAAAGAUCGACAUCCAACACUAGAAGUCUAUGAAGAGUUGAAUGCGACUCACCCGGAAUAACCUUGCAGUCCUUGUACAAGCCCCGAUCGCUCCUUCGGAUGAGGAUGUAGUCAAUCUGAGUGCGCGCCGCCGCACUCUUGAAAGUAACCAAAUGCUCCUCCCUCUUCCGGAAUGUCGAGUUCGCA
rnacentral:lncRNA from 1 species